GCUUCAGUGGGUCUACGCUAAGAGGAACUAACAAUUUUGGCCAAUGAGUCUUGUGGUUCCUUGCAACCAAUUAUCCUUUGGUCCUCGAGAUGUUUUGGAUUUCAGCUCCCAGAAGUCCCAGCUAGUAAGGUCAAUGCUCAGGAAUUCUGGAUGCUGAAGGACAAAAAGUGAAUCACUCAACUACAGCUGAAUCUGAUAAAUUAGAUUCUAUCCUACAAAGCCUUAACAGGCAUUAAUCUUUUAAGAUAUAAUGAGACUCUGUUCUCUCUAAAGGUGUGCACUUUAAAUAUAUCCUGCUAAGAUUCUGCCUCCUGUCUCUCUCUCUCACCGUUUUCUCAAUUUAAAGUUUGACAUGAGGAUAUCGAAAGUGAGCACAUGCCUCUAAUUAUGGAAAUAACUCACCCUACUUGCUCCAAUGAGGGUUGUGUUGGUAGAGCAUUUAGAUGGUGGUGGAUAUCAGGGUGUUAAAUUUUCCUUUGAUGUCAUGUGUUUCUGGAAAUAAGAGGAAGAAUUCCUUUUGCGUUCUAAAUUGGUCCCAUUUUUACAAUGCUGUUUAACUACUUCCUCAGGAAAUUUCAGCAGACGUGUUGGCAGGCCUUCAUUCCAAGUAGAAACUAUCUCAUCAGGAAGCUUAAAAGGACUCUUGCUAAAAUCCAUGACUUAGCUUUGCCUCUCUCCUGCUGAAAUCACUAGCUUGGAAAUUUAGCCAAAACAAAAUGAGGAAGAUUAACUGCUUCAAGGAAAAAGAACUGGAAGAGCAGAGGAUGAUGGAUCUCAAUAAACCAUAGUUGAACUAGAUCUAUCAUUCAGCCAUGCUUGCCACCCAACUAACCAUUUCAAGCUAGUCAGAAGAUCUUCACAAUCAACCACUCAGUACUUCACACACCUUGAAAUCCUUGUGUCAUUAUGAAAAGUUACCUUUUUGGACUACACAGGUGGAUGGAGGAUCCUGGAAAUAGUAAUCUAAAAGAGUACCUUCUCCAACUCUUAUUCUUAGGUGGAUUGCCAAUGUGAUCCAUUGAAAAUCUGUUGAAAUCCAAAGAAGAAUGGGAUUCCAGACCAGGGUGUCCUUUUUUACACAUUGUUGUUCCAUCUUGCAUAACCAGCAGCAUCUGGGGCACAUUUUUCUUAGUGACUGGGGUACAAAUGGGCUCCCCAAACAUAACUGUGACUGUCCAGUUGUCUAUUAGGGCAGAGAGGAGAUAUGAAGGGAAAGCAUUUUAAGUGUAUGUUAAAAGGGGGAAAUUGAUCUUUGAGCCUCUGUGAACAAAAAGAAACCCCUAUGUAUAUGAAAGUCACAAGUUUUGAAGAUCUGCAUGAUGUUUUCUCUAUCAAAAUGUAUUCCUUGGAAAAUCCCAACUUUUUAAUCCCACUUCCCAUUCAGUUUAAAUUAACUUAAUAUUUCCUGAAAUUAAAUUCACUUCUCUCUAUAGCUGUCUGUUUGUGAUUGUACUGUAACUAGCUAAGCUGACCACUGCCAAGAAACACAGUGUUUGCUUCCAGGAUCCAGAUUCCACAGAGAUCAAGUGAGGAAAGGAGGAAUGCUAGCAAUAAAAGACAAUGAUCCUAAGGAUUAAAUAGUGUGAUAUUGCACUUUAAUAUUAUGCACUCUACAUUAUGACUAUAGCGCUUGAAUAAUAAUUUAGAAGUUGGGGGAAGUUAAUAUCUGACAUAUUGCCUGAAUCUAGAUGGUCAAUGGAGGGGAAGGGGGGAAGGAAACAAGCAGGGGGGAGGACACAAGGGGGGAGAAGGGAGGGAAACCCAGGAUAUUUCAAGAGAGAGUUUGGAUGCAAAACCAUGGAUAUUUGGUUCAAAGCAACAAAAAGAACUAGAAAGUCUUUAUAAUUCCAACAAUUUCUUUUACUUUGUGGAUAAGCCCUUUGACUCCAUUCUAGCUUUUCCAAAUUCCAUUUGGCUCCAAACCUACCCCACCCUAUCUCUGCACAGUUUCACCUUUUGUAGACUGGGUUUCUCAUUUCAGGAAAAAACUCUCUCAAAUAUAAUAUAUUGUCUAUUACAACCCUUUAGUUAAAUCCCUGGCCAUCAAUUUAUAGCACAGUAUUUGCACCAGGUCAUACCACCUUACAUGGCUCAGGCCUCUUCUACACUGCAAUAUAAAAUUUAGAUUAUCUGCUUUGAACUGGAUUAUAUGGCAGUGUAGAAGGGGCCUCAGUGUGGUUCUAUUCAACUGCAGGCAACAAUACAAUAAACUUUAUUAUGGUCCAUGGACCUGCAGCUGUUAAGUGUAUAACAUACAGGAGUUUACAUAACAUUUAAAACAGAAAUGUGUUUAACAGACAUAUACUACACAAUAUCAGGUAAUACUCUGAUCGGAGACUAGGCUCUUUCUCAGCCUUGCUGCCACUUCAAGGAACUUUGCAACAGUGAGGGUCACCUCGUGUUUAUCCUCCAUAAGAUAUCUGACCUUCCCUUGUGGGGCAUGGUCAGACAAUCGGGUCAGGAUUGGGUGUAUGAGUUGACCGUGUUGGGCUGAGUAAUAGUGGCACUGCAACAAGAUGUGUUCUAAUAAUUCUAUUUCAUUUCCACCGCAUGGGCAUAUCCUUUGGGAGUAUGGGAUACCAGAUAGUCUGCCAUUUAACAGCUCUGAUGGAAGUACAUUUAGUAUCGCUUUUGUGAAGAGUCUUUGGUAAAGCACCAUGAAGAAGAAAAUUACAUUACUUAAAUGGCUCAGUGUAUGGUAAGUUCAGGGCCCUAGGGGAACAUGGUGAAUUUGAGCGAGCUCUGAGCUCUCCCAGGACAAUGUCCCUCAUUUGUUGCUUCAAUAAUUUGGCCUUGGAGACCACAUCUAACCUGUAAGUGGCUGUCUCUGUAUAGUUCUUUGAUGAGGAAGAGUAGGCAAGAAUAUAUCUUUCCAAGACUGGUAAGUAAUUCCUGCUCUCGGAAAUCCCAGCCUGGCUCCAGGUAGAACAGGAAUCAUAACAUACCAUAUGUAGGAGCUGCGGUGGUGCAAUGGAUUAACCUUUGUGCCGGCUGAACUGCUGACUUGAACGUUGGCAGUUAAAAUCCGCGAGACAGGGUGAGCUCCCAUCUGUCAGCCCAGCUUCCCAUGUGGGGACAUGAGAGAAGCCCCCUGCUGGAUGAUAACACAUCCGGGCAUCCCCUGGGCAACAUCUUUGAAGAUGGCCAAUUCUCUCACACCAGAAGCAACUUGCCUCAAUCUGCUUCUGACACAAUAAAAAAGAGAGAGAACUCAGAAAGGGAGAAAGUGAUUUAAGCCUGGAUAGACAUCUCAUGUGAUCCAGACCAUGCAUCAACAACAUAUAUUUCAUUUCCUGUAAAUGGUCAGAGGAGAAGCCAAUCCCUCCCUCCUUACACCAGGGAAGUGGGGGUGUGGAGAAAUCCAAACCAACUGUUGUUGAGGAGGGCCAUGUCGCUGCGAUAUUCAGAUUGGAAACAUCUCACAAAUUUUGGAAAAUAUAAUUAAAAUGAAAGGAAAAUUCAACACAAUGCUAAGAGGCUCUCAUUAGUGUAAGGAAAUCUGAUGCAAAGCAACCAGUUCAUCAUGAGUUCACUCAAUGGCUGCCAAGGGAAUAUAACACCUCAUAUAAAUGCUGUGACUGACAUUUCCACCCUAUCCAACUAUAAUAAAGAGAAGCAGUUCAGCUAAGCCUGUACCUCUGAUGUCAGUUUUCCAUAUCUGUUUCCUCUCUUUCAAAUUCAGCUUUCAGUACACUGUCAGUUGCCUGCAUAUAAUUUCAUAUCCCUCACAGGUUCAAAGGGCUAUGUAUAAUGUGGGAUAAGUAGAGGUUGCGGGGGAGUGGGAUUGAAUCUGGAAAAGCACUCCCCUUGUUCUCUUUGCAGCAACAGCCUUAAUGUCUCCUCACAUUCCCAUCCAUCAUUCAAGGCAUUGCACAGGCAGAGAGUGGGACAUGUCUGGCUUGCUUUUGCAAGAUAUAGCAGUUCUCCCACAUGUCCCCAAGCAAAGAUCUCAACUUGCCAGAGAUACAGGAAAACUAUGCAGGCCUUCUUCAUAUAUUGUAAUCCCUGCAGGAUAAUAUGAAGAAGAGAUCAGAGAGGAGGUAGAGAUAUACUAGGCAGAGCUCUAAGCAAGCAAACACAAUUGCCCCAUCACACAAUUUCCCCCUCCAAAUUGUGCUUUCUUGUCUUCUUUUUCUUUUUUGAUAUCCUUUUGACACAUACUGCUGAGAUUCAUGUUCAUAACCAUCUGGGACUCUCACACCGCAACAGAGUGAGAUGCCUCUUUGCAAUAGACUUCAGCAAGACUGGGCUAGCUCCCUGGGCUGGAGAAUGCAAGUGGGGCAACUGCUGGGGUGAGUCUGCUGCUGGCAUAUAGACCAGGCAUUUAUUACAAAGAUAUAGAAACUCAUCACAUUAGGAAAUAAUGUAUACAUCCCAUAGUUUUUUUUUCUGACGGAAUGCAUAAUGAAUGCAGAUGGGAUGUAUACUGACACCCAAACACUACGAUUCUUGCCUUCAGAAAAUGCUGCAUUGCGUCCCAUCACACCAUGGAAGGCUGGCUCCUCCCAAUCCAUUCAAAAGACUCCCUACAUCACUCUUUAAACAUUUUUCUAAAUCUGUGGAGUGACAUAGCCUCCAAAUCCCGAAUUACUGCUCUUCUGAGAUGUGAAAAUAUGCUCGCAUCUGUGCAGUAAAUGCACUUGUCUGAUAGCUGCCUUAUGGCAGAAAAUACAGAGUUCUGAGGAAUCUAAUAAGGAGUUCUUAGGAAUCUAAUGUCAUGGAGAAAGAUUCCCAUGUAUGUACACAUGCACACACACACACACACACACACACACACACAUAAUGAGGUAAAGCAGCAAUUGCCAAUUUUCUUAUUACCGGAGAUCUUUCUCCUUAUUUCAGAAACACAGUAUUUUCUAAUUUGAUGAGGUCCCUAAAUUGGAUCUACACUGCCAUAAAUGAAUUUUGGUUUUCUAUGCAGCAGUUUCUUUUGAGACCACAUAUGGAUCUAUGCUGACCAUAUAAUGUAGAUUCAAACUGCAUUAUAUGGUGGUAUAGAUCCAGUUCUAGUUGGAUGAAGAUAAUCUUUUUCAGUUUUGCCCAUCUGUGCAGCAGUAGGCAGUACACACCACACACAUAAUAUGAAGUUAAACUAAGCAACAUCGGUUAUAUAUGAUCAACUUGUGAUUAUAGUUAAACUAUUUUGCACUCUCAUCCCUAAAGGAGGGAAAUGAAAGAGAGAAUUUGGCCAAGAAAACCCUAUGUUGGGUUUGUUUUAGGGUCCCUAUAAAUUGGAAAUGACUUUUAGGCAUGGAACAACAAUGUCACCCAAAGCUCUUGUGCAGCCCUAAUCCUGUGAAGCAAAAUGGAGGACUACCAAAGGGAGAGCUAUUUAGUGGUGGAACACCACAUUUGGAAUCCAUUCACAAAGAUAGUUCUCCUCACAUCUACAUUAUAAAUAUUUCAAAACCGGAUAAAUAUUUUGUAGUUUGCCUACAUUUGAAGAUCCAUCUUAAUACUAUUAGACUACUGAACUCAUUGAUUUUUCUACCAGUUUGCAUUUCAGCUUUAUAUGCCGUGGUUUCCUUUGAGGCUACUUUGUUCUAGGCUAAUUACUGUCUUGAUUCAUUCUAUUCAUUGAAUGCAUAUUAAGCUUUGGUUGUCAGGCUGCCUUAGAAUGCAAACAAUAUUAAACAAACAAAAUAUAUUUAUAUCUUCAUCACUUGGUCUUCUGAUGUAAGGAUUGGGAAAUAACUUCACACCUGACCCUCUUUUCUUUUUUUAAAAAAUUCAUCCUGCAUGUUAUUUCUUUGUUGUUACUGGAAAACAAGAAAACAAAUGUAUUGAUGCCUUUGACUCAAUACUGCUGAUUUCUGUUGUCUCUAUGAGCUGGUGAACUUCAAGAUCUUAACAUUCUCCCUCCUCCUUUUGCUUUAGUUAACUGAUCAUCAUAGAAAUUAAUGCAAGCUACUAGUCAUUUAUACGCAUUUUUAUUGCUCAUUUAUAACCAUAAAGCAAUAAUAUUUUUGAGGGGAAAUAAAUGCUUUUCAACCAUAACCUGUGGGUGGUUUCACCUUGCCUUUCACUUUGCCCGUUUGAAUGAUGUUGGGGGGGGGGUGUAUUUGAGCUUGUGUCACAGUCUUCCUUUUUCUUGGUCAACUGUUUUGCCCUGGGUGGCCUUUUUCUAGAAAUGAAUGCUCCCACUGUUGCACAUUUAAGCAGCAACAUGUUGAAAAAGAGUUUAAUGAGAUGCACAUAUAUAUUAAUAGUGCAUCUAGUAGAGUUUGUGGCACUGUUUUCUUGAAAUGACCACCCAAACAUCAGUCCUUUGGUCAUAUCAACUCUCAACCGGCUUUGUCAACCAGAAGAACAAUACUCUGUUUCUUCCACAUGGCUGAGAAAACGCACAUUUUACAACUGAAUCACUAUGUAUGGAAUCUGUCUUGAAACAGCACUGUGCAGUCUUUCUCCUUAUAUGUGCCAAACAGCAAUGAAAGGUUGAAGGAAGGUGAUCAUUUGUAGCAAAAAGGACCCAUUUAUUCAGUGAUGUUUUCAAGGACAGUUUUUUCCAGCUUUUACUAACAAAUUCUGUUCUUUAAAAUGGCAGCAUUCUCAUAAUAUUUCCCAGGCUUUAUCCAUUGUCUGGUCUUUACCUCUGUUAAUCUCAUUCACUGGUAGUCUCCAGAAUUUGAAAACUGUGGAAAUCUCAUCACAGAACACAUGCAUCAAAUAACAACAACAACAACAACUUUAUUAUUGUAUCUCACCCCAUCUCCCCAAGGGGACUUGGGGCAGAUUACAUGGGGACCAAGCCCAGUGAUAUACAACAAAAUAAAACAACAGCGACUACAAAAUACAGUUCAUAAAAAUGUAUAAAAAGUAACAUGUGCCAGUGGUAAGUGCAAUGGCUGGAUAUGGGUGGAGAUAGGGACUCUGUAAAAUGUCCAAUCUAGUCAAAGGCACAUUGAAAUAGCCAGGUUUUAAAGUCUUUUCGGAAUGAGGCCACAGUGGGGGCUAAUCUGAUUUCUCUUGGGAGGGAGUUACAGAGCCAGGGAGCCACCUCUGAGAAGGCCAUCUCCCUUGUCCCCACCAACCACACUUGAGACAGUGGUGUGAGUGAGAGAAGAGCCUCCCCAGAAGAUCUUAAAGUUCAUACAGGUUCAUAAUAGAAGAUGCGAUCACAAAGAUAGGCCAGACCCGAGCUGUUUGGAGCUUUAUAAGUAAUAACCAGCACCUUGAAUUGGGAUCAGAAACUUAUCGACAACCAGUGGAGCUGUUUUAAUAAAGGGGGUAGUCUUCUCCCUAUAAUUUGCUCCCGUUAACAACCUGGCCACUGCCUGUUGCACUAAUUGGAGUUUCCGAGCCAUCUUCAAAGGCAGCUCCACAUGGAGUGCAUUGGAGUAAUCCAGUCUGGAGGUAACUAAGGAAUGGACAACCAUGAUCAAGUCAGGCUUCUUAAGGUAUGGCCACAGCUAGCACACAAGCUUUAACUAUGCAAAGGCCUUUCCCGAUACCACUCACACCUGAGCUUCAAGUGUCAGCACUGAGUCCAGGAGGACACCCAAACUGCGGGCCUGAGACUUCAGGGGGAUUGUAACCCCAUCCAGUACAGGUUGCCACCCAAUGCCCCGAUCAGCCAUAGAUGUUCUGGUCAUCCGCAAACCCAAUCAACAAUUGGGCCACACAGUUUACAGAAAACCUACACACACAGAUAGAUACCUUCAUAAAAACUCCAACCAUCACCCAAGUCAAAAAAGGAGCACAAUCAAAGCCCUGACAGACCGUGCACAAAGAAUCUGCGAACCUCACCUCCUCCAAGGUGAACUCAACCACCUAAACUGGGCUCUACAGGCCAAUGGAUACUCCACCACAGACAUCAGAAGAGCUGCAAGGCCAAGAACAAGCCAUGAGAGUCAAGACAAAGAUCCACCCAGAGGAAAGGUGUUCUUACCAUACAUCAAGGGAACUACUGACCGUAUAGGGAAGCUGAUGAAGAAGCACAACCUACAAACUAUCUACAGACCCACGAAGAAAAUCCAACAAAUGCUACGGUCAGCGAAGGACAAGAGGGAUCCUCUCUCUUCUGCAGGAGUCUACCGGAUACCAUGCAGCUGUGGACAAGUCUACAUAGGGACCACCAAACGCAGCGCCCAAACAAGAGUCAAAGAACAUGAAAGGCACUGCAGACUAAUUCAACCAGAGAAAUCAGCCAUAGCAGAGCAUUUGAUGAACCAGCCUGGACACAGAAUACUAUUUGAGAACACAAAAAUGCUGGACCAUUCUAACAACUAUCAUGUCAGACUACACAAAGAAGCCAUUGAAAUUCCACAAGCAUGUGGACAACUUCAACAGAAAGGAAGAAACCAUGAAAAUGAACAAAAUCUGGCUACCAGUAUUAAAAAACUCAAAAAUCAGAACAGUAAAUAAAAAGCAAUACUCUGAAAACAGAGGAUUUCCAGACAUGAAUCAACCAAGGGCAGUUAACGACUCUAAACAAAGGAUGCCCCAGAGGCAGGAAGAAGACAGCAGAUAAGCUUUUCAAUGCUAAUUAAAGUGAUUAACUACACAACAUUCACACUGACCUCUCUCACCCUAGACUUUCCACAGAUAUAUAUUAACCUCUUUGCUUAGUUUUCUCCAUACCUCACAACCUCUGAGGAUGCCUGCCAUAGAUGUGGGCGAAACGUCAGGAGAGAAUGCUUCUGGAACAUGGCCACACAGCCCGAAAGACAUACAACAACCCCAGCCAUAGAACUGACCAGGAGAACCUCUGUCUUGUCUGGAUUAAGUUUCAGCUUGUUAGCCCUCAUCCAGUCCAUCACAGCAGACAGGCAUUGUUCCAGGACACAAGGGAGUUCCUUGGAGCUAGGUGGAAAGGAGUAGUAAAGUUGAAUGUCAUCUGCGUAGAGAUGGCACCCAACUCCAAAACUCCAGAUGACCUCACCCAGCUGCUUCAGUGAGGUGGUGUAAUACUUAAAUUGAUCGCAAAAUUAAGCAAAUAUUUCAGUAUUUUUAAAGGGCGCUUCCUGAAAGCGCCAAAAUGCAGGUUUGAAAAGUGGGGCAAAAAAUCCUGGGACCUGACAGUAAGCACACAACAGAUCUGUCAGUCCUGGGAAAUGGUCCCUCACCAUCCUCAUACCUUCCUUUGAAGCAGAUCAAGAUGAAGGGCAGAUGGGACAUCAGGCGGAAUUUUUUUUUAAAAAAAAUAACUUCAAUAUGUGCUGGAUCUUAUAUGUGUAGAGAUCCAAAUCUACACACAAGCAGAUUUCUUAUUCUCACCCUUCACCCAACUGUUAAUUCAAGCUCAAUGUUAUAAAGAUCUAAAUAAAGGAAUGGUUGCAGAAAGUUCUAAUUGCUUUCCAAUUCUGAUUCCCUUUAGCCACCUGUGUGCCUGUGGCUCCAUAUUUUGACAGCCUGAUCAGCUUUUUUGGGCUUUUAAAAUGCGCACAUGCACUGGGGCAAUCCACACAGGGGGAAGGGAAGGAAAAUACAUGUUUUGCUAAUUUUGGGGGGCAGAAUUGGGUCUUAAAUUCACCUUUUAAACAUGUGCUUUCAGCUGUUAACCCGAUUUCACCUGCACCUUCACUAAAAAUCAUUUAGCUGCUGCCACCUCUUUUAUCCCAGUUACUUCUGUAAUUUUAGGCAUGUGUAAAAGGGCCCUAAAAGCAUCUUUGUUGCCACCAAAUGGGCCUGAUAAGGUGUUACUGUGUAUCCCUUGGAAAUACUAGCAAGACCCAAAUAUUUUGGGAAAGGCCCCACAUAUCUGCAAUUCAAUUGAUGUUACCUAGCUGUUAACACAAAACAAGGUACUUUCCUAAAUAAAGCAACAGCAAAUACUGUGGAGACUGGAAGCAACGUUCAUUACCAACUCCAUGGGAGACUUUAAGUCAGCUCUGAGACUUGAUCCUAUUCCUGAAUCCAGACUAUUUUUGCAUGCCCUUCUGUACAUUUUGGUUUAUUGGUUUUUGACUGAUACUUUAGCUCUCAGCAUUGGGACUGUUAAUUGACCACAUGGCUUCUCACAUCCUCAAGUGAUCUCCAACAGCUGGUGUGACAGAGAGGUUUUCUAGCACUCUAAUGGGCUCAUAAAAGAAGAUAUUGUCCUUCAAAUUGUUAAUGUGGGAUGUGUGUAUUGGUAGUGUUUAAAUGAAAAUUUGUGUCUUGCCUGUAUUGCAUACUGAUUGCAUCAUCCAGAGUGUACUAUAGUCUGGAAAGAGUUAAUUACUAAGAAGCUGUGAUGACCUUGAUGUGUGGCUGGAACUGGGGAGUGUCCAGACACAAGUGUGUGUGUAUUACUGAUUGCCUCAGUUCAGUUCUGAGUGAGUGUCAAGUCCUGUGUUCGUCUGCAAGUCUGUUUGUCUUUAUUACUGCUUUCAGUAAAACUUGUAUAUAGUUUUA